UGAGGACUAUUGGGCAAUGGGCGACAGCCUGACCCAGCCACGUCGCGUGUGUGAUGAGGGCGUUCGGGUCGUAAAGCUCUGUGGGGAGGGACGAAAAAGCGCAGUAGGAAAUGACUGCGCCUUGACGGUACCUCCUUAGCAAGCACCGGCUAACUCUGUGCCAGCAGCCGCGGUAAUACAGAGGGUGCGAACGUUGCUCGGAUUUACUGGGCGAAAAGCGCGUGUAGGCGGACUGGCAAGUCGGUUGUGAAAUCCCUGGGCUCAACCUAGGAACUGCAUCCGAAACUGCUUGUCUUGAGUAAUGGAGAGGGUGGCGGAAUUCCCGGUGUAGAGG
rnacentral:rRNA from 1 species